rnacentral:lncRNA from 1 species
UUUAAUUUUACUGGGAGGAGAUGUCACUGCACCCUGAGAAAGCAAUAUUGGUCAUUUGGUUCAUGGUUGAUUCUUCAAUAUUGCUUCAUUUAGCUAGUCUAGCUGGCAUAUCCAGCCCAUUUUUGAGCAGUAAAAAGUUACACACAUCCAAGGAUGAGAAUCUACAGUCUCUUCUUCCACCACACUUCACUUCUAGAUUAAAUGCCAUUUGACUAUAGAGACUUGUAUAUGCAACCUAACUCACUAUUUAGGAUGUGGAACAAAUUGAAAUAGUGUUAUUGGCUCCAUCCAACAUAUAGUAGGAAAAAUCAACAGUAUGAUACCUCUUUAUCUCAUCAAUUUCGAAUGUUCCGACUUUAGACAUCUUCCUUUUGUUUGAACCGGUGCCAAUGGAUGAAAAAUGACUUCUGAAUGCUAGCCAUCUUUUUCUUACAUGGCUUACUUUCUGAUAUUCAUAUUCUGAAAAAGAAUGUGAAUUGUCCUCUUCUCACAUUUAUCUUCUUGCAGGCUCUUCUUAAUGUUGCAACGGUUCCCUGUAGAAUCAAAAGGACGGCGUAAGAAACUGCAGGAGGUGAUCUUUUCAUUUAUUUUAUAUAUAUGGAUUGUGCUAUCUGUAAUCUAUUUUAUUUUCAAUUGUUUUAAUCUGCUUCUGGCUUGGCAGGUUGGUUAUGUGACUACCAUUUGCUUCUCAUGUUUCCUCAUCAGAUGCAUUAUGGUUAGUUUGUUAUGAUAUUCUUUACUGUCUAUAUCAACAUCUACGUUAAGUAUACUAAAAUAAGUUACCUGCAUUAAAAAGUGAACAAUAGAUGGUUAGAUCUUGGUAAAUUACUUUCAAAUGGAAACAUAGUAAUCAAUGAACCUACGACUUGUUUUGAAAUUUACUGUUUAAAGUUGAUAAAGUGAGUCUUUGCCUAGUGAAUUGCGGGCUCAAGGUUCCAUUUCUUCUUUAUCCUAUGUUCAUCUAAUUAAGAUUUAAUUGUUGUUUAUGCUCUAGAUGUGCUUUAAUGCAUUUGAUAAAGCUGCAAAUCUUGAUGUAUUGGACCAUCCAGUUCUGAACUUCAUAUAUUACCUGGUAAGUUCUCCUCGAUGGAUGUAUGAUAUUUCAUUGGAAAACAAAUCUCUUGUACAUUUUAAUUGUGAGAUAGUUGAAGGAUUAAGCCUAGUUUUUGAUUGUUGCCUUUUCUCCUAUUAACAAAUUUCCUUCUUAAAACUUACUGCUCUUCUGUUGAAAUAAAGUCAAUAAUUUCUUAAUAAUGAAGGUUUCUUUUUACACAUGGAAAAUCUAGUUGAGUCAAAACUUCUACGCGAAUUGUGGGUAACAAUGUGAAUGACAAUCUGGGUCUUGUUUGGACGCUCAGUUAAAGUGCCGUGUGUGUGACAAAACACUGCUGGUGGCCUAUGAUUGGGCGUUUUAUAGAGAGUAUCAAACUAAGAUCUUCCUGUUAUUAGCCAUGUGAUGGCAAUUGCAGCAUAGAAUGUCAAAAAUCUAAUUUUUUAACCAAUACACCGAUGACCAUACCAUACAUGUUAGCCAUACUAAUCUUCAAACACGUUCUGAGAAUAUUUUUGUUUGCUCCAGCUUUUGGAAGUGGCAGCUUUGAUGUGUCAAUUGAUUAAAUUUGUGGCAUUAGUCAUAACCUACCAUUUUUUCUCGUGGAACUCUAAAAUUGUUCAUGACUCCUGUUUUAAAGCCUUCUUAGAUUCAGAAGGCUAAGAAUAUCAAUUUCUUUUAUUGUCUUGUUUAUAUUUUUCCCUCUUAUGACAAGCUUUUUCCUCUCCUUGCAGUUGGUUGAGAUAUUGCCCUCUUCUUUGGUCCUCUUCAUUUUGAGGAAGCUGCCACCAAAACGAGGUAUCACACAAUAUCAUCCCAUACGCUGAUCCAAGCUAUAUACAGCAAAUGCAGUGAAAACAAAUGAUGCUUUCACUUGAAGCAUGUUCAUCUACCCGUAAGGGAGAACAAACACAAUGGGGAGAUAUAAGUUGACCAUUUUGUGUUUGCAGUCAGGCAUGGAUUCUGAAUUGUCAAAAUUUCUGUAAUUGGUGUUUGUAGAUUUGUUGGAAAAUACAUCAACCUAUUACAUCUAUUGUUGUUUGUAUGUGUUGCGGUUUUUGCAUUUAGCGUUUCCUUAUGGUUCUGCAUUAGAAAAUGACUCUUCUUUUGAAGGAAAAAUAAUUGUUGUAUGGUUAGGAAAAGAAAGUAGAGAUCAUACACUUUCGGCUAAAUAUCAUCUAAUUAUUUGUUUAUACGAGCAAGGCAUGAUGCUUCUUGAUGGGAAAUUUGUAUUAGAAUACAGAGGAAUUUCUACUGAUACCAUAACAUGGUAAGUGUCAUGCAUUUAUAAUUUUGGAAUCUUGAUAAAUCAAAUAUUGUGUAGAGAUUUCAAGCAAAUUUGAAGAAUACAAUCUAGGAUUUCAGUUGCCUUACCUGGUAUCAUGGGACUUACCUGGGUACGGUUUGUUGAGCAAGAACUUGGCUAAAAUAUCCAUCCUUUGGGAUCUGGCAAACUGAAUGAGCAGCUGAAUUUUUCACAAUGAUUGAGUGAGGAGAUCUUCUGGAGCUUUCUUCUGUUGUAUCUUCUUUUUGGGGGUAGUCUUUUGUUGUUU